UUGAUAUCAGGUAAGAGUACCCACUGGAUUUAAGCAUAUAACUAAGUGGAGGAAAAGAAACUAACAAGGAUUCCCCUAGUAACGGCGAGUGAAGCGGGAAGAGCUCAAUCUUAAAAUCUCUAUAUUANAUUGUAGUGAAUUGUAGUCUAUUGAAUUGGUUUUGCAAUGAACAUAUGGAAAAGUCCCUUGGAAGAGGGCAGCAUAGAGGGUGAUACUCCCGUCUUUGCCGUAUGAUUUAUUGUAUUAAUUCCUCUUUCAUUGAGUCGAGCUGCUUGGGAAUGCAGCUCAAAGCAGGUGGUAAAUUCCAUCUAAAGCUAAAUAUGUGUGUAAGACCGAUAGCGAACAAGUACCGUGAGGGAAAGAUGAAAAGAACUUUGAAAAGAGAGUUAAACAGUACCUGAAACUGCUGAAAGGGAAUCGGAUUGUUGCCAGUGUGAUCCAAUACAUAUUUCAAUAGUGAGUAAUCGUUGUUGCCCUGUGUGUUGGUGUGAUGUUAGGGUCAAUUGAUUUUGCAAGAAAUUGGUAAGAGGGAGGUAGGUGAUAUUUUCGGAUAUGACUAUUAUAUUCUUUUGCUAGUGUUGUGAAUGAGAUUGAGGAGACAAUGUGCAAUUUAUUUACUUUUCAUCUUUUUUGACUUAUUUAUUUUACAGCUUGCUGUUAUUUAAGUAAUGUUUUGAGAAACUUGAUAUGUAGANAAUGCCAUUCGGGACCCUGACAAAAUGGAGCAAUCUGUCCCGUCUUGAAACACGGACCAAGGAGUCUAACAUGUAUGCAAGUAUUUAAGUGGUAAACUUAAAUGCAUAAUGAAAGUGAAUUAAAGUAUUUAGCUUUAUAAGGUAGGAAGAGUAUUACUCUGCACUAUCAACCGAUCUAGAACCUUCGGGUAAAAGAUUUGAGUAUGAGCAUGUAUGUUGGUACCCGAAAGAUGGUGAACUAUGCCUGAAUAGGGUGAAGCCAGGGGAAACUCUGGUGGAGGCUCGUAGCGGUUCUGACGUGCAAAUCGAUCGUCAAAUUUGGGUAUAGGGGCGAAAGACUAAUCGAACCAUCUAGUAGCUGGUUCCCUCCGAAAUUUCCCUCAGGAUAGCAA
rnacentral:rRNA from 1 species